AAAAAGAGACAAACACUGGUUUCUGUGCCCAACAUUUGACCGUCCGUCUUAUUUGAAAAAUUUUUGAAAAAAAUUAAAAAGACAAGUUACGCAUAAAAUAUUAAUCAUGUUUUAUCAUCUAACAACAAUGAAAAUACGAAUUAUAAAAAAAUUUCAUAUAAGACGGACAGUCAAAGUUGGACACGUAAACCUAGGGUUUGUCUUUUU
rfam:Oryza sativa (indica cultivar-group) chromosome 11, whole genome shotgun sequence.